AUUUACGAAAAAAGAACAGUUUGAUAUAAAGAAUUGAAAGAUUCUCGUCCGAUCACUGAAGUUAAGCAACGUCGGGCUCGGUUAGUACUUGGAUGGGUGACCGCCUGGGAAUACCGAGUGUCGUAAGCU
rnacentral:rRNA from 1 species